rnacentral:rRNA from 1 species
CCUACGGGUGGCAGCAGUGAGGAAUAUUGGUCAAUGGCCGGAAGGCUGAACCAGCCAUGCCGCGUGAAGGUCAGUGCCCUCUGGGCGUUAACCUUCUUUUGUGCGGGAGCAAUAAUGGUCACGUGUGGCCAGACGAGAGUACCGUACGAAUAAGCAUCGGCUAACUCCGUGCCAGCAGCAGCGGUAAUACGGGGGAUGCAAGCUUUAUCCGGAUUUAUUGGGGUUAAAGGGUGCGUAGGCUGGGAGGUAAGUCAGCGGUGAAAUGCCCCCGCACAACGGGGUGAAGUGCCAUUGAUACUGCCUGGCUGGAAUGCGGAUGCCGUGGGAGGAAUGUGUGGUGUAGCGGGGAAAUGCAGAGAUAUCACACAGAACACCGAUUGCGAAGGCAUCUCACGAAUCCGCGAUUGACGCUGAUGCACGAAAGCGUGGGUAUCAAACAGGAUGAGAUACCCCAGUAGUC